rnacentral:rRNA from 1 species
AAUCAACGCUGGCGGCGUGCCUCAGACAUGCAAGUCGAACGCGAAAGUCCCCUUCGGGGGACAAGUAGAGUGGCGCACGGGUGAGUAACACGUAGGUAAUCCACCUUCGGAUGGGGAAUAACAACCGGAAACGGUUGCUAAUACCGCAUAAUGCAGCGGCACCUAAUGGUGACAGUUGUUAAAGCGGGGGAGUCGAAAGACCUCGCGUCUGAAGAGGAGCCUGCGGCGGAUUAGCUAGUUGGUAAGGUAACGGCUUACCAAGGCGACGAUCCGUAGCCGGCCUGAGAGGGCGGUCGGCCACACUGACACUGACAUACGGGUCAGACUCCUACGGGAGGCAGCAGUCGGGAAUUUUUGGGCAAUGGGCGAAAGCCUGACCCAGCAACGCCGCGUGAAGGA